GAUCCUGGCUCAGAUUGAACGCUGGCGGCAUGCCUUACACAUGCAAGUCGAACGGUAACAGGGAGCUUGCUCCGCUGACGAGUGGCGAACGGGUGAGUAAUACAUCGGAACGUACCUUAUCGUGGGGGAUAACGCAGCGAAAGCUGUGCUAAUACCGCAUACGCCCUGAGGGGGAAAGCGGGGGAUCGAAAGACCUCGCGCGAUUAGAGCGGCCGAUGCCUGAUUAGCUUGUUGGUGGGGUAAAAAGCCCACCAAGGCAACGAUCAGUAGCUGGUCUGAGAGGACGAUCAGCCACACUGGGACUGAGACACGGCCCAGACUCCUACGGGAGGCAGCAGUGGGGAAUUUUGGACAAUGGGGGAAACCCUGAUCCAGCAAUGCCGCGUGAGUGAAGAAGGCCUUCGGGUUGUAAAGCUCUUUUGUCAGGGAAGAAACACCGGCUCUAACACAGUCCGGGAAUGACGGUACCUGAAGAAUAAGCACCGGCUAACUACGUG
rnacentral:rRNA from 1 species